rnacentral:rRNA from 1 species
UACGAAGGGGGCUAGCGUUGCUCGGAAUCACUGGGCGUAAAGCGCACGUAGGCGGCUUCUUAAGUCAGGGGUGAAAUCCUGGAGCUCAACUCCAGAACUGCCUUUGAUACUGAGGAGCUUGAGUCCGGGAGAGGCGAGUGGAACUGCGAGUGUAGAGGUGAAAUUCGUAGAUAUUCGCAAGAACACCAGUGGCGAAGGCGGCUCACUGGCCCGGUACUGACGCUGAGGUGCGAAAGCGUGGGGAGCAAACAGG